rnacentral:rRNA from 1 species
AGAGUUUGAUCCUGGCUCAGGAUGAACGCUAGCGGGAGGCUUAACACAUGCAAGUCGAGGGGCAGCACGGGUAGCAAUACCUGGUGGCGACCGGCGCACGGGUGAGUAACACGUAUGCAACCUACCCUGUACAGGGGGAUAACCCGGAGAAAUUCGGACUAAUAUCCCAUACAAUUAUUGGAGGGCAUCCUUUGAUAAUUAAAGCUCAGGCGGUAUAGGAUGGGCAUGCGGAACAUUAGCUAGUUGGUAGGGUAACGGCCUACCAAGGCUACGAUGUUUAGGGGACCUGAGAGGGUUAUCCCCCACACUGGUACUGAGACACGGACCAGACUCCUACGGGAGGCAGCAGUGAGGAAUAUUGGUCAAUGGGCGCAAGCCUGAUCCAGCCAUGCCGCGUGUGUGAAGAAGGCC